rnacentral:lncRNA from 1 species
GAUAACACCACCCCCUUUCCAACCCCUAGUUGUUUUAUUAAUAGACCAAAAGGGGGGAGGAUGUAGGGAAAAGGGGCCAGCUGAAGAAACACACCCUAAGCGGAGCCAAAGAAACACACUUUGGCCCUGCAAUCAGAGCCAAAAAAAUGCACCCUGACCCUGAAAUCAGUGCCAAAGAAACACACUUUGUCCCUGGGAUCAGAGCCAGUGAAAGAAAUAUAUCCUGGCCCUAAAAUUAGAGCCAAAAGCCUAAAAAGGACCAGUGAAAGAAACACACUUUGGCCCUGAAACCAGAGCCAAAUCUGACCCUAAAUCUGUGCAGAAAACCAACCAAUCCCUGAGCAGGAGAUCUAGCCAGUCUGAGCUCAGGGAAUGAAAUCUGACCAAUCCCCACCCCAUCAAGCCACCGCAAUGCUUACACACAACCAGAGAUAUCCCAGGGUUUGUUGAAAAUCCUCUUUAAUGGAUUGCUGCUAAGCAUUAUGGAGGCACCUUGACACUGCUAUCCAAAAGAGAAAAAGAUCUCCUCGUUACAGAAACAGAUCUAAACUGGAAGGGGAAUGAGCCAUUUCAAGACCACAGCUGCCUGCCCACACCCUUCUGAGGACGACUGUGACUAAGCUACCUGCCAGCUGCUGCUGUUGCAAUGGCAAUACUGGUGGUUCCCAAGUGGUGGCAGUGAGCACUGCAGCCACCAGUUUCCUUGUGACCCAAUAUACCUGAGUCAACCCCACAUUCAGUUCCACAAGAUGUCAGCCCUCCUUCCAACCAGUCUCCUGCCGAGGGAUGACUCCACGGGUCCCCUGCACUAGUGUCUUGAGAUGACUGACAUGGUCCAGUCUAUCAGGCAAGAUCUGACUGAUAUCCCACUGAUGGCACCAGUUUUGGUAGUCCUGCUAGACCAGCUUACCAGACCUUCGGGAACCACCCCCCUCCCAGUGAGACUGACUGGGCAAAACAAGAACUAGCUACAUACACAG